rnacentral:rRNA from 1 species
AGAGUUUGAUUCUGGCUCAGGAUGAACGCUGGCGGCGUGCUUAAUACAUGCAAGUCGAACGAGGAGCCUUGUAGCAAUACGGAGGUUCCUAGUGGCGAACGGGUGCGUAACGCGCUGGCGACCUGCCCUAAAGUGUGGGAUAACAGUUCGAAAGGACUGCUAAUACCGCAUGUGAUCAUCGGGUUUAGAAGCUGGUGAUUAAAGGAGUAAUCCGCUUUAGGAGGGACCUGCGUCCCAUCAGCUAGUUGGUGAGGUAACGGCUCACCAAGGCUACGACGGGUAGGGGACCUGAGAGGGUGGUCCCCCACACUGGCACUGAAACACGGGCCAGACACCUACGGGUGGCAGCAGUAGGGAAUAUUGGGCAAUGGGCGAAAGCCUGACCCAGCAACGCCCGCGUGCACGAUGAAGGUCUUCGGAUCGUAAAGUGCUUUUCUGAGAGAUGAGAAAGGACAGUAUCUCAGGAAUAAGUCUCGGCUAACUACGUGCCAGCCGCCGC